rnacentral:rRNA from 1 species
GCGUGCGGCGUGCUUACCAUGCAAGUCGAACGGUGAGGGUCAAGCUUGCUUGGCCUGAUCAGUGGCGAACGGGUGAGUAACACGUGAGUAACCUGCCCCAGACUCUGGGAUAACCCCGGGAAACCGGAGCUAAUACCGGAUAUGACCCUCGUACGCAUGUGCAGGGGGUAGAAAGUUUUUCGGUCUGGGAUGGACUCGCGGCCUAUCGGCUUGUUGGUGAGGUAGUGGCUCACCAAGGCGACGACGGGUAGCCGGCCUGAGAGGGCGACCGGCCACACUGGGACUGAGACACGGCCCAGACUCCUACGGGAGGCAGCAGUGGGGAAUAUUGCACAAUGGGCGGAAGCCUGAUGCAGCGACGCCGCGUGAGGGAUGACGGCCUUCGGGUUGUAAACCUCUUUCAGCAGGGAAGAAGCGCAAGUGACGGUACCUGCAGAAGAAGCACCGGCUAACUACGUGCCAGCAGCCGCGGUAAUACGUAGGGUGCGAGCGUUGUCCGGAAUUAUUGGGCGUAAAGAGCUUGUAGGCGGUUUGUCGCGUCUGCUGUGAAAAUCCGGGGCUCAACCCCGGACUUGCAGUGGGUACGGGCAGACUAGAGUGUGGUAGGGGAGACUGGAAUUCCUGGUGUAGCGGUGGAAUGCGCAGAUAUCAGGAGGAACACCGAUGGCGAAGGCAGGUCUCUGGGCCACUACUGACGCUGAGAAGCGAAAGCAUGGGGAGCGAACAGGAUUAGAUACCCUGGUAGUCCAUGCCGUAAACGUUGGGAACUAGGUGUGGGUCUCAUUCCACGAGAUCCG